rnacentral:rRNA from 1 species
GACGAACGCUGGCGGCGUGCCUAAUACAUGCAAGUAGAACGCUGAAGAGAGGAGCUUACUCUUCUUGGAUGAGUUGCGAACGGGUGAGUAACGCGUAGGUAACCUGCCUUGUAGCGGGGGAUAACUAUUGGAAACGAUAGCUAAUACCGCAUAACAAUGGAUGACACAUGUCAUUUAUUUGAAAGGGGCAAUUGCUCCACUACAAGAUGGACCUGCGUUGUAUUAGCUAGUAGGUGAGGUAAUGGCUCACCUAGGCGACGAUACAUAGCCGACCUGAGAGGGUGAUCGGCCACACUGGGAAUGAGACACGGCCCAGACACCUACGGGAGGAAGCAGUAGGGAAUCUUCGGCAAUGGGGGCAACCCUGACCGAGCAACGCCGCGGGAGUGAAGAAGGUUUUCGGAUCGUAAAGCUCUGUUGUAAGUCAAGAACGGGUGUGAGAGUGGAAAGUUCACACUGUGACGGUAGCUUACCAGAAAGGGACGGCUAACUACGUG